UGUUCUGUUGGCAUAGUGGUUAGAACGUCCGCCUCGGAUGCGGGAGGUCGUGAGUUCGACUCCCAGCCGAGUCAU